GUACACCGCCGAAACCGUGGCAUUCAGUUUUGCUGGAUGGGUAGGGGAGCGUCGUUCACGAGGUGAAGCCAGCGGGUAACUUCUGGUGGAUUGUGGACGAGUGAGAAUGCAGGCAUGAGUAGCGAAAGACGGGUGAGAAACCCGUCCGCCGGAUGACUAAGGGUUCCAGGGUCAAGCUAAUCUGCCCUGGGUAAGUCGGGACCUAAGGCGAGGCCGACAGGCGUAGUCGAUGGACAACGGGUUGAUAUUCCCGUACCAGUGAAGAACCGCCCAUGCUGAGCCGGUGAUACUAACCGCCC
rnacentral:rRNA from 1 species